UACAGAGGUCCCGAGCGUUGUUCGGAUUCAUUGGGCGUAAAGGGUGCGUAGGCGGCGGGGAAAGUCUGAUGUGAAAUCCUGGGGCUCAACCCUGGAACUGCAUUGGAUACUUCCUUGCUAGAGUACUGGAGAGGAAACUGGAAUUUACGGUGUAGCAGUGAAAUGCGUAGAGAUCGUAAGGAAGACCAGUGGCGAAGGCGAGUUUCUGGACCAGUUACUGACGCUGAGGCACGAAGGCCAGGGGAGGCAAACGGG
rnacentral:rRNA from 1 species